CAUACGAAUUGUCACGAGCCUCCACUCAUUCCGAUCGGGGCCACCAAUCGCGGCACUACGUCGUGCCGCCAAGGUUUCGAACAAAGUCCGGUUUUUGUAACGAUAUUUUCAUUGUUGAGGAUUGAGGAAAAUAUUCACUCCAUUUAUGGACAAUCACGGCGGCUGGCUUGCUAUUAAUUAUGGGACGUGUUACUCGCUCCGUCUGCGUUACAAACAAUCCUCCCCUAUGAAAAAUAGUUCAUGGGCUCGUCUUACAGGGCUCAAGUGCCUUAUUAUCGAAAACACACUUCAAUCAUGACGUCACAACCCCGGAUAGGGCCCUAAUUCAUUCAUGUGCAGUUGAGGUUAGGUUCGGUUGAAUAAAUUUUAAAAUAAAAUUCCAAUCUCGAGGUGGACUACUGGCUCUAGAUUUUUUCGAGGGGCAAAUCGACUGUUACCAAAUUGGAAUUGCAGAUAUUAUUUAUUGAAUGCCAGUCUGUUAUUAGCCUGUACUUACGACAAUAAAUACAGGGCUCUAUCGAUGGGUCUUCCUUCCAGAUCCUUCUCCAAAGUAUGCUUUCUGAUUUGAUCUUCAGUCUAGAAAGAAACGAUUCAUUUUGACGCUACAAUAAUACAUUUCACCUACCAGGAAAGCUCAUCCUUUGCUUCCUAGAGUGAAAAGUCAAGAGUUCUCGCCCUUGGGACUCGAAACUUAGCUUUUGCAAGGGUGUUGACAAAUAAAUUCUGGAAAAAAUGAACGUGCAAAGAAGAUUCACACACCUUAAGGGCGUGCAGCAUCGGCCGAUCGAGCUGAAGGCUUGCAAACUCUUCAAAGUCCAUUUCCAUUUUGCUAGGGUUAUAUUGGAAAUAAUCCAGUGAGAUCGUUCAAGUUCACUCCAGAUGAUAACUUACAACUAAUUGAAAUUGGCAACAAUUCAUGUCGAUUGUUUUGUUGUCUCGAAUGAAAUCUCCUCUACAAAGUUUUUUAAUAGGGCCGGGCUGCACUGACCGGUAAUAAACCAUUGUUGAUUAGUACAUUAAUAAAUAAAGAAAUCCAUAAAAUACAGAAGGGAUUGAAAAAAAUGAGGGAGACUAAUUAUAAAUUCAUUUAUUUAUGUAAACGCUCAUGAUAAAAAUAAUAAUGAUAAAAAAUA